rnacentral:rRNA from 1 species
GUGAAUCCCUUGGCUCAACCAAGGAAGGGCAUUUGAAACUGUCCGGCUUGAGUGCGAGAGGGGGAAGCGGAAUUCCCGGUGUAGAGGUGAAAUUCGUAGAUAUCGGGAGGAACACCGGUGGCGAAGGCGGCUUCCUGGACCGAUACUGACGCUGAGACGCGAAAGCGUGGGGAGCAAACAGGAUUAGAUACCCUGGUAGUCCACGCCGUAAACUUUGGGCACUAGGUGUUGUGGGUAUUGACCCCUGCAGUGCCAAGGGCGAAUUCCACAGUGGAUA